GUGCUCGCUUGGGCAGCACAUAUAUUAAAAUUGGAAUGAUACAGAGAUUAGCACGGCCCCUGAGCAAGGAUGACACGCAAAUUCGUGAAGCGUUCCAUAAAAAA
rnacentral:snRNA from 1 species